rnacentral:lncRNA from 1 species
GGUUUGGUACGUGCACACUGACCAGACCAAGGUGGUGGCAGUUCGUGUAGUGCAGGACCUUGUGAUUUGGCCAGGGGUGGGUGCUCCUCUUUGGCACAGUAUGUUCUGUCAGCCAGGGCUUUUCCUGUGCUCUGAGUAAAAAUAAAGCCAUUUUAGUUAGAUUUAGAUACAGCCUUGAAUGCCCAGUGGAAAAAUAAACAGCAGUUUAUAAGUCAUUUACUGUACUGCAGAGAUAACAUUUCAGGCUUGGAGGGAGACCACCUUGCAUGGGUCAGCUGAGCCCACAGAGUGUUUGUGACUGAAUAACAUGGGAGUAAGUGUCACCGAAAGCCUAAAAUCCUCACCCAGGCAAGGCUCGCCGUCCUCCGCCUGAGCUCAGCGGUGAGCAUGCCCCCUGAAAGGCAGCUUAAUUAAUUAAAAGGUUAAACCCAACAAUCAGCAGCUUUGAUUUUGUAAGUAAGAACAUGUAUGAAAAUACAGUGGCAUUUCAGCCUGCAGACCCAGCUGGGAUGUACAAUGCAGGUCAGCACUGCACAAAGCUUACCAGCUGGCACCUGAACUUGCUAACUGCCCGUCAUCUUAGAAUCAUAGAAUGGUUUGGGUUGGAAAGGACCUUAAGAUCAUCCAGUUCCAACCCCCUGCCAUGGGCAGGAACAGCUUCCACUAGCUCAGGUUGCCCAGAACCACAUCCAGCCUGGCCGUGAAUGACUCCAAGGAUGGUGCAUCCACCACCUCUCUGGGCAGCCUCUAAAGAAGGAGCAGAUUGUCGGGUGCCAGAGCAGAGACCCAACAUGUAGGUUUGAUGCCACCAAACAAAGCAUGGGAGUGUGCAGAGGGGGGCAUGAAUGGGACCUGUGUGUGCAGCUCCAAAGUUGCCCCAUUGCCCUGAUUGGUCACAUGCCCUUGGCUUCCAGUGGUUGCUGAUUUCUGGUUGGCCUGGCACUCUUGGGUCCCAGUUACUCCUGAUCUCUGAUUGGCCAAGCACUCCCAUGUUCUACCUGUUCUGUCCCCUAGCUCUGUGCUAACCGCGGGCUGCUCCACUGGGGCACCCCCCACCACAGACCAAGGAGCAGCCACCACUGGUGCUGGCGUUCAGGGGCAGGCACGAUGGCUGGGCACUGCAGGCAGCCCCAGGGCUCCAUGGUGGGGCAGAGACCUCCAUGGCUUCUGCGCCCCCAUUGGCCCCCUGCCUUCGGGUCUAGGUAUGCCUUGGGCACAGGCUGGCCAGGAGCCUUGAACCCCCAAUCCCUCAUUGGGCAAGGAAUGUUGGGGAGAGGUUGGUCCUGGUGGCUGAUUGGCCAGCACCUUUGGGUUACAUUCAGGUCUAACGCUGUGAUUGGGCAGUGCUGUUGGGCCUAAAGAGUGCUCUACCCCUAUCGAGAUAGAAAACUUGCUCCCAGUUGCUCCUGGGCUGUAAUUGGCCAUCUGCCCCAGUGUUCAAGUUGCCCCAUU